CGCACCUUGCGCUCCUUGGUAUUCCGAGGAGCAUGCUUGUUUGAGUGUCAUGGUCUUCUCAACCCCUUUGUGUUUUUAAUCGAACGCAACCGGGCUUGGACUUGGAGGCUUUUGCGGGCUUCGGGACCUUCCGGUCCAGGAGCCGGCUCCUCUGAAAUGCAUUAGCUUGAACAGAACCAAGCAUGAUUCAACGUGAUAAUUGUCUACGUUGCUUCAUCUCGGUGAACUUCAAUGUUUGGGCUUCCAACCGUCCUCCGGGAUACUAUCGGAACAUCUGACCUCAAAUCAAGUAGGACUACCCGCUGAACUUAA
rnacentral:misc_RNA from 1 species